AUAAACGCUGGCGGCGCACAUAAGACAUGCAAGUCGAACGGAAGUCGUUAUAAAAGGAGAGAAGAUUUGUCGGAUUGAAUUUUAUAACAAUGGCUUUAGUGGCGGACUGGUGAGCAACGCGUAAGGAACCUACCUAUUAGAGGGGAACAACAAUGAGAAAUCAUUGCUAAUACCGCAUAUGCCAUAACUACCGCAUGGUAGAAGUGGGAAAGGAGUAAUCCACUGAUAGAUGGCCUUGCGUCUGAUUAGUUAGUUGGUGGGGUAACGGCCUACCAAGACGACGAUCAGUAGCCGGACUGAGAGGUUGAACGGCCACAUUGGGACUGAGAUACGGCCCAGACUCCUACGGGAGGCAGCAGUCGGGAAUAUUGCGCAAUGGAGGAAACUCUGACGCAGUGACGCCGCGUGCAGGAAGAAGGUUUUCGGAUUGUAAACUGCUUUAGACAGGGAAGAGAAAGGACAGUACCUGUAGAAUAAGCUCCGGCUAACUACGUGCCAGCAGCCGCGGUAAUACGUAGGGAGCGAGCGUUAUCCGGAUUUAUUGGGUGUAAAGGGUGCGUAGACGGGAAUACAAGUUAGUUGUGAAAUACCUCGGCUUAACUGAGGAACUGCAACUAAAACUAUAUUUCUUGAGUACAGGAGAGGUAAGUGGAAUUCCUAGUGUAGCGGUGAAAUGCGUAGAUAUUAGGAGGAACACCAGUGGCGAAGGCGACUUACUGGACUGAAACUGACGUUGAGGCACGAAAGUGUGGGGAGCAAACAGGAUUAGAUACCCUGGUAGUCCACACCGUAAACGAUGGAUACUAGGUGUAGGAGAUAUUAAGUCUUCUGUGCCGUCGCAAACGCAGUAAGUAUCCCACCUGGGGAGUACGGCCGCAAGGUUGAAACUCAAAGGAAUUGACGGGGGCCCGCACAAGCAGUGGAGUAUGUGGUUUAAUUCGAAGCAACGCGAAGAACCUUACCAAGUCUUGACAUCUGGACGACCGGGGCGUAACGGCCCUUUCCCUUCGGGGCGUCCAAGACAGGUGGUGCAUGGUUGUCGUCAGCUCGUGUCGUGAGAUGUUGGGUUAAGUCCCGCAACGAGCGCAACCCCUGUUUCUAGUUGCCAGCACGUCAAGGUGGGAACUCUAGAAAGACUGCCGUAGAUAAUACGGAGGAAGGUGGGGAUGACGUCAAAUCAUCAUGCCCUUUAUGUCCUGGGCUACACACGUACUACAAUGGCUGUAACAGAGGGAAGCAAGCUAGUGAUAGCAAGCGAAACCCAAAAAGCAGUCACAGUUCGGAUUGAAGGCUGAAACUCGCCUUCAUGAAGCCGGAAUUGCUAGUAAUGGCAGGUCAGCAUACUGCCGUGAAUACGUUCCCGGGCCUUGUACACACCGCCCGUCACACCAUGAGAGUUGGGAAUACCCGAAGCCUGUGAGCCAACUAUUUAUAGAGGCAGCAGUCGAAGGUAGAAUCAAUGAUUGGGGUG
rnacentral:rRNA from 1 species